AGAAUCAACGCUGGCGGCGUGCCUAACACAUGCAAGUCGAACGAGAAAGUGGAGCAAUCCACGAGUAAAGUGGCGCACGGGUGAGUAACACGUGACUAACCUACCCUUGAGUGGGGGAUAACCUAGGGAAACCUGGGCUAAUACCGCAUAAUACCUACGGGUCAAAGGAGCAAUUCGCUUAAGCGAGGGGUCGCGGCCGAUUAGUUAGUUGGCGGGGUAAUGGCCCACCAAGACGAUGAUCGGUAUCC
rnacentral:rRNA from 1 species